rnacentral:rRNA from 1 species
CGCGCAGGCGGUCGUAUAAGUCGAAUGUGAAAGCCCCCGGCUCAACUGGGGGAGGGUCAUUCGAUACUGUUCGACUCGAAGGCAGGAGAGGGAAGUGGAAUUCCGGGUGUAGUGGUGAAAUGCGUAGAUAUCCGGAGGAACACCAGUGGCGAAGGCGACUUUCUGGCCUGUUCUUGACGCUGAGGCGCGAAAGCUAGGGGAGGCAAACG